UAUAAUCUAUGUAUGUAUUAAUUUCAGGGAUCAAUGAUGGCACCCCAUAUCAAUCCAACAGCAACCGAAUACGGAAUCGUGUUGAGGGGAAGUGGUACAAUCCAAAUUGUCUAUCCAAACGGAACCUUAGCCAUGAACUCAAAAGUAAGUGAAGGUGAUGUAUUCUGGGUACCAAGGUACUUCCCAUUCUGCCAAAUCUCAUCAAGAACAGGCCCAUUCGAGUUCUUUGGAUUCACCACAUCAUCACGAAAGAACAGGCCCCAGUUCCUAGUCGGCCGGAACUCCCUUCUUCAGACCAUGAGGGGGCCUGAACUUGCAGCUGCAUUUGGUGUAUCUGAAGACAGGCUCAGGAAAUUCAUUGAUGCUCAACAUGAAACCACAAUCUUGCCAACAGCUUCAGUGGCUCCACCUGAUCAUGAUCAUCAGGCCAAGGUAGAGACGGGGGGAAAGAUGAUGCCCAAGAUGAUCAAGAACUUGGGUAAUGAAAUGAUUAUGGGCUUUGAUUAGAUGGCCUAGCAUGUAAAAUAGAAGAAGUUUGGAAGUGGUUUGUUCCGUUCUUCAGGUUUUUUAUGAUUCUGUUUUUAUUUUCUUGUUCCUUUUGAGAUGUGAAUAAAAAUAAUUUUAGUUUUUCGUGUCAAUUCUCGUUAUGUACUCCCUAAGUCCCGAUAUUUUUUUUUAAUUAUUUAUCGUUUUAUAUAAUCUUAACUAUAAUUUUUUUAAAAUUAUUCUUUUCUUUAUAAAAAAAAAAGAGAUAAGGAUGAUGGUUAUGAAAAUUUAAGGUAUUAUAAUUAAUUAAUAUUAUAUUUAUUAUUAUAUAAUUACUUUUUAAAUUAUUAUGCAUAACUCUAAACGAGAAGUUGAUUGAAGAAUUACCAGAAAACGCAAUAAUUUAGAAAUAAAGCAAUCCUUUUUAUUCAAAUUAUCCAAAAUAAAUAGAUUCUCACAUAUAUUAACAACUUUUUUGAUGACCGGCCAAGUUUAUAAAUUAGUAAAUGGGUAAAAAUAAUACUCCUACAAGACACUUUUUAGUCGAGUAUGAUUACAGUGCAUAAUAAGAACAUACAUAAGCGGGUGUAUCAAUUUGGAUCCGGUUAGCAUGAAGUUAUUUUUUUGAUAAAUUGGUCAAUUGAUUAAUAGAAUAUUGACACACAUAUAACCUCGUCUGCGUGUCAGUAUUUUAUUGGUCAAUUGACCAAUUUAUCUCAAAAUAAAUUUCAUACUAACCACUUCCGUAUCAAUUUUCAUGCAAUUUUAUGAAGAGAAACUCGUUGAUCUAUUUAGUAAAAAAAUUAUAUUCAAUAAAAUUUUAAUGACAUAGACCUGUUCUUGAUCCAAUAUAAAGACAGGCAGAGACAGAACUAGGGGGGGCGGGGGGCAGCCGGACGCCGAUAGACAGGCGGUCGUCGGUCAGACGGUAGGUGGAACUAGGAGGGGGGCAGUAGGCCAGCAGCCAGCUCGGCGCAACUCGCGAGGAGCUCCGGUCUUCACCUUUCUCUUCUCCGACAGCGAUUCAUGUCAUAUUACACGGUAGCCUCUAUUCACAAUUAACAGAUAUGCCGCUACUGGCUUAGGUUUAUUUGCAUUUACAGAGGUUUGGAUCGAGUUUUACUUAUAUACCAUUCUUAGUUUCCCCUUUUCUUCAAACUUGGUCUGAAAUUUUUAUAAUUGAGGGCUUCACUAAAUCAUUGCAGAGGUCAAUCAAUAGUUGCACUUAUAUCACUACUUUAAGUAUUCGGUACAGCUGCACUUGUUCAAUUUAUCAGCAAGAAACUCUGUUUGCAGAGGUCAGUCAAUAGUUUGUUUCUUGGUAUAACUGUAAUUUUCUCCUUCCUAAAGUGCUCCGGGAUUCGGUGUUGUGUGCCUUCAAAGGAUAAGUUCAAUUCCUUUUCCCUGCUUGCCGUGUAGCAUUUUGGUAGAUUUCUAAACUCCAUAGAAUGCUCAUUUUUAUGUAAAUCACCGGCAUAUCUGUUGAUUGUGAAUAGAGGCUACCGUGAAGUAUAAUUCCAAUGGAUGGCUUUUGUAUAAUCAAUUGCAUUAUGUGCUUGUUAUCUUUGGANNNNNNNNNNNNNNNNNNNNNNNNNNNNNNNNNNNNNNNNNNNNNNNNNNNNNNNNNNNNNNNNNNNNNNNNNNNNNNNNNNNNNNNNNNNNNNNNNNNNCUUGGUCACCUUAAUUUUUGUCAAAAACAUUUCCUGUGUCCCAAAACUAAGUAAUCGUAGUUACUAUAUAUGCAAGUAAUUUGUGGUACAUGAUCUAUUGUUGUUGCAGGGGAAGCAAGAAUCGGAUCAAUUCGUAAAGAUGAACUAGUGGAGGAGGAGCUGAAGACGGGAGAUCUGUAUAGAAUUGAUGCCGGCUCUGCAUUUUACUUGGAAAAUAAAGGGGAAGGUCAGAGACUUCAAAUCAUUUGCAGCAUUGACACCUCUGAGAGCUUAAAUUGGCAUGAUUUCCAGGUACUAUAUUUAAGUUAUUAAAAAAGAGAUGCCUCAUUAGGUAGUUCUGAUUGAGCUUUAGAUUAAGGUGACUGCAUUUUCAUUGAUACAUAAAUAUAACAAUCUAAUUGGUAAUUAUUUAAGUUAAAAACAUAAAAUUAUGUUUACCAUACUUCACCAAACAUGAAGUAUGUAUGCAUGCAUGCAAUGCAAUCUUGUUGUUUAUGUUUAUCAUGUUUGGUGAAGUAUGUAUGCAUGCAAUCUUGUUGUUUUAUUCCACAUGUGGACAAAACUUGUGGUUUCAAAUUUGAGAAUCUCUUUUAGAACUUAUGAUACCACUUUGAAAAUAAAAAGAUAAAAAAGAAGAAAAUUAGAAGAAGAAGAAGAAGAUUAUAGGGUAUGCUUGGAAUUUUGGAAAGACUUGUCUUGCGACUAACAGAUAAACACAUAAAUCAAUAAUGAGUAAACACAAAAAUCAAUAAUCCAUGUAUUUGUAUUAAUUUACAAGAUUAUAUUAGGACUCUUUAGAACUUUAUGCAUUAAAAAGAACAGCAUUUGAUCAUGUCUCCUUUAUUUAACAAUUUGUGCACCAUCUGAUGUCUAUGCAGUCUUUCUUCAUUGGAGGAGGAAGGUAUCCAAAAUCUAUUCUCUCUGGAUUCGAUAACCAAACACUCUCAACUGCAUUUAAUGUAAGAAACUUUCUAGGCAUCUCAUUUCUUUAUGUGUGUGUGCCAUACUUUUGACAAAUGUUAUGUAAAUUGUGUGUAUGAUCUCACAGGUAUCAACAUCAGAACUAAGUGAGAUUAUGACUAGUCAACAAUCCGGCUCAAUUGUAUUCCUAUCCCCAGAUUCUUACCCGCCAAGCAUAUGGAUUCGGUUCUUGGCACUAGAGCAACAUGAGAAAAAAGCCCACUUGAAGAGACUUGUGCAAUUCGAAGAACAAGAAGAAGAAGAAGAGAAACCAAAAUGGUCACUAAGGAAGCUCUUGAUAUCUGUGUUUGGAAAUGAAAAUAGGAAAACAGAAAACAAGAGAAGUACCAAAUCAGAUGGUACCUAUAAUCUCUUUGAUAGGAAGCCGGACUUCAAGAACGACUAUGGAUGGAGCAUGGAAGUUGACGAGUCUGCUUAUUCUCCUCUUAGUCGCUCCGGCAUUGGCAUCUAUCUUGUCAAUCUCACCGCGGUACUUAGCUUCUUUCCCUUGCUACAUUUAAAAUUGUUCUUUUCCCAAUUACUUUUUAAAUGAAAUUUGAUGUGUGAAUGUAAUAGUAGUGUAUAUAAGAUCGAUCACAAAUGAGCAGAGGGAAGUUGUAGGAGUGGGGCCUAAAAGUUCUAAUGAGUCGGGAUACAAAUAGAACUUCACCCAGUCUUGUUUGCAUGCUUAAAAACUUCCCUUAGUCUUGUUUGUUUGUAUGUAUAAUCUAUGUAUGUAUUAAUUUCAGGGAUCAAUGAUGGCACCCCAUAUCAAUCCAACAGCAACCGAAUACGGAAUCGUGUUGAGGGGAAGUGGUACAAUCCAAAUUGUCUAUCCAAACGGAACCUUAGCCAUGAACUCAAAAGUAAGUGAAGGUGAUGUAUUCUGGGUACCAAGGUACUUCCCAUUCUGCCAAAUCUCAUCAAGAACAGGCCCAUUCGAGUU
rnacentral:lncRNA from 1 species